UGGGGGAUCGUCUAGCGGUAGGACAGCGGACUCUGACUCCGCCAGCCCUGGUUCGAAUCCAGGUCCCCCAGCCA
rnacentral:tRNA from 1 species